UCUGCCUACUACUGAAACUACAUGCACUGUAAUGGAAGCUAAAGCCUUUAUUCCUUCUGGGGAAAUGGAAGCAAGCUAUGGCUGCCAAACAUUGCAGAAGUGCAGCCAAGAAUAAUGUUUUAGAAAUGGAGGAAACUUCUUCAUCUCAAGAUGCUGUGCAGUUCACUCAAUGUACUACUGUACAGGACGGAGAGAGAAGGAGAAGGCAGUCCUGGUCAACGCUUCAUACACAGGAACCAAAAAAGGUAAUUCUUCAGAGGCAGAUUCUUCUCAAUUAAAGAAAAGAGAAAACUGAGAGCUCCAGAAACCACACAUGGCUACCGAUGAGUCAGGGACUCUAACUAUGACACAGAAAUGUUUCAGAAGCAGAAACUGGAACAAAGACACCCAAAAUAGCUGCGAUCAGAUGACUUAAGCUAAGCAAAGUAUUUAAAUUUAAAAACAAUAUGGCAAGGAUUCCCUUUUUGUAAGUACUGACAACUACAAUUCAAGUGAGUAUUAAAAAAAUGAAGCCAUUCAGUAUAGUUGCUCAAAUAUAACGGGUUUAUGUUACAACAAAUAUUUUUUACUUUUUUUUUUUCCCCCAAAAUGUUGUAUCUUACUACUAGACAAUAGUGGCAGAUGGUUAAGAGUACUAAUUUACCAAUUUGUUCAUACUAUGUAUUAGCAUUAAAUUUUAUUACUUUUUUUAUUAGUUAAAGACUUAAGAUUUUUAAAGCUCCUCAGAUGCAUUGUUGCAUGGAAGUAACUUCUAAAGUACUCGCCUUCUUUAUCAUUUAAGCCAACGUUUAUAAAUUGUCUCAUGUACUGUUUUGUAGAUUCAGUUUAUAUUUCUAAAAAGAGAACAGUCUUGUGUAUACCUAUUACUACCCCUACUCAGGCUCAACAACUGUACCUUAACUGAGCAAUCAUCCACAUGUCUAACAGGCAAAAGGAAUAUUCAUAGCAAAGUUGAGAGGUCAAUUUCCUGUAGAGUUUUCAAGCUAAAAGAUCCACCUUCUCCCCAUCUGCAGUUUUCAAGAUUGACUCCACUGAAGGGCAUUCUGUGGAUAAUUCAGUCAUUUGGGUGAAUAUGACACUUCGCUUAUCAGUGUGAAUCUCGUUCUGAUCCCUGGUCCAACCAGAAUCAUGCUCAACAAAAAUGCUCUUGGUGUUGGCCACUGGUGAGGAGUCCGGUAACGGUUUAUGUAUAACCACUGGUUAUCUGCCAAAUUCUUUCUCAGUGUACUCCAAUUCUUAUCUUCAUUCUCAGGAUUAGAACACAAAAAUCUAUGAAAAAUACUGAUAUCCCCAUUAGAAGGCAUUAACCAUCUAUUACUACUUGUAUUACGACCUCUUUUUUAUUUUUUUGUUUAACCUAGUUACCGUAAGUACAGACCAGUCAAGGUGGACUUUACAGAAUGAAUGAAUAAUCUGCCCUUAUUUUUUAAACUUGCAUACAGUCUUUCACUUUAUUUUCUUUUAGUAAAUGCUGGUAGAUCCAAUUACCCUGGUUUUGCUUAAGUUCUGUUGUCAGAACUUUCUCUCUCACCCCUUCUCGAUCUAUCCUGUAUUCUGUUGUUACUGAAGUUUGUUUCCUUCCAAUUUACAAAUUUCGUAAAUACUCCUUUGGUAUUGCUGAUUUCACUUUCUACCCCUGCUGUCAUUUAUUCUUCUCAGCUUAAGUCUGAAGAACUAUACAGUUUUAUACACAAUGCUGUAAGGUAGUAAGAACAGUCCUAGCCAGUCUGUUCCCCCAAACAUGGCCAUAGGAACUGUUUUUCUAGGUUAUAGUACUUCAGUGAAAGCAAGAGCCUUUAGAAAGAUGUGUAUGUAUUCCUCAUUUCUUUCAAAAGUAAGGUCUUUCAAAUGAAGACAAGAAAUGUAAAAGAAGCUGGAAGCACUUGAUACCCGUUUUUUUUACUACAGCUGUCAAAGGCAGAUCACUCAAGUCCCUUAAAAUUUUGGGACGUUCAAACUGACAGUGAUCUUAGAGCUUCCAGCUGUAAAGUUGGAAUCUACACCCUGUAGAUCAGCAGCAACAGCAACAACAACAUGGAUUGCUUAGAUUUGUUAUCAAAUUCCACACAAAUUUGUGGAGAAGUGACACUGAAGAUCAAAAUAAUUUUUUAAACAUUAAACCUAAUUCCAGUUUGGUUAUUUAGGUUACUUACAACAAUGUUCCAGAUAUAGGGGGAGAAAAAAAAAAAAAGUUAAAUAGAAACUCAAGUAAGUGUCAGUUACUAAAUUAAUGAACAUAUAAUGGUUAAAUUAUUCACCAAGACUUAGAAGCUCUUUUUGGGUUACAAAAAAAAUUAUCUUUA